GGGCCCGUAGCUUAGCCAGGACAAAGCACGGGUCUCCGGAACCCGAGAUCCCGGGUUCAAAUCCCGGCGGGCCCG
rfam:Sulfolobus tokodaii str. 7 DNA, complete genome.